rnacentral:rRNA from 1 species
ACGACACGUGCUACAAUGGCAGCUACAGAGGGCAGCAAGACCGCGAGGUGGAGCCAAUCCCUAAAGCUGUCUCAGUUGGGAUCGGAGUCUGCAACUCGACUCCGUGAACGCGGAAUCGCUAGUAAUCGUGGAUCAGCCAUGCCACGGUGAAUACGUUCCCGGGCCUU